UUAUGCCUGAUCCAAAGCCCUAGGCUAACCCAGUGUAGCCUUCUUUGAUAAAAGACAGAGUACAUGACUUAGAGGCUUAAGAGGGGUCUUCUACUACCCAUUCUGGAUUUCUGUUUUGAGACUUGGAAGUUCUAAAGUCCUUGCAGAGGAGAUUCUGAGGCCCACCAGUAGCCUAAAAUCUCCAGGCCUGCUCCCCUCACUGCCCCCACUCCUGGGAGUUGGAAAUUGUGUGUUCAGAGUCCUUACAAGUCUGAAAAGGCCUUUAUUUUUACAGCCACACUUGAGUCACCAUUUGGCUGUAGAAUUCUCCCUCAGAAUUCUGUAAACAUCACUCCAUUGGGUCUCCUGGCAUUUUAUUUCCAAAUAAGAGAGCAAUGUCCACUGGUUUCUUUGCACUUGGCAGACACCUGAUUUUGGUGAAGGUGUUGGAGUGUCUUUUGUUGGGAGAAGUGAGUGUGAGGAGGGUGGGGGA
rnacentral:lncRNA from 10 species